rnacentral:antisense_RNA from 1 species
CUUCACCGACCCCAACCACAACGGCCGACCCUCCGGCCGCUCCCGGCCGUAGGUAGCCAGCAACGCCUCAGCCUC